UACGGGGGGGGCAAGCGUUGUUCGGAAUUACUGGGCGUAAAGGGCUCGUAGGCGGCCUGCUAAGUCGAACGUGAAAUCCCCGAGCUCAACUCGGGAACUGCGUCCGAUACUGGCAGGCUUGAAUCCGGGAGAGGGAUGCGGAAUUCCAGGUGUAGCGGUGAAAUGCGUAGAUAUCUGGAGGAACACCGGUGGCGAAGGCGGAUCUCUGGACAGCUCCUGACGCUGAGGCGCGAAAGCCAGGGGAGCAAACGGG
rnacentral:rRNA from 1 species